UACAGGUCCCAAAUAUGGGACUGUAAUAACAAAUUUAAAUAUCCUGAAAGACAGGUGAAAUGAAAGGAGAUUUAGACACAGCAGCUUUCCAUGUUUUCUCCCAAAUUGGAUCUGAGAGCGAGCGGAGGUCCGUUCCCAUAGCAACCGGAACGCAACUGCUUGUGCCAUUCCUUAAA